UUUUGUAUCUCCUGUAUCCAUUUAUCUCUUUUGCCAUGGAGUCCUCAGCAUCGUCUUCUUAUUCGUUAAACCACGCAGGAGAAAAGCACUUGUAUCCAAUUUUUUGCUCAUGUCGUCAUCUUUAUUGAUGAAACAGAGUGGAGGAGAGGAGUUGUGUUUGCUGGAUUUGAGGUGCCUAUCCAAAUGGAUGUUUCUAUAGAGAAAAUGAUUUUUGGGGUUCCAGGAACUGAUCCACAACAUGAGAUGAACUAAUUAAGGUUCUUGGUAUCGAUCUGUCCUGGAGAAUGCACAGAUCAUCUGAUGGGCAAAGAAGAAGAGUGCGGAUAUGUAUGGGUCUUCUGAAACCAUUCAAGCUCUUUGGCCCUCACCAUAUCCUUGUGCUGCUUCUACCUACAAUAAGAUUGCUGAACUUUCAAAACUUCCCAUACCAACAUCCUCUCAGCACAUUAAAGGUGAAUAAAGGAAGGGGUAGAAGAAAGAAAUGAAGACCUUCAAAGUAUUAGCUGAACAAUGCAAGGCCUUUAAAUUUUCUAGUUUUUAUGAACUUGUGUAUGCCAACUAUUGAAUGUGUCAAACAAAUUUGUAUAUUCUGCUUUAUAUAUGGAUAAUACUAGUUGGAUAAUUUGGA